AGAGCCGCAGUGCCGUAGUAGCGGGCAGGCGAGAUAGACUGCUUUCAAGCUGCGGAUCCCCCAGCAGAGGUGGAAGACCCUGGGAGCUGCCUAACGGCAGGCGGGUCGCUUUAUCUCCUAGCAGCGCACUGGAGCCGUCAUCCCCCUCCCCCGAGAAGGCUGCGCGGGCGGGAAGACGCCGAGACGCCAGCUUCGGUCCCCUUUCUGUCUUUCGGUUCCUCUUUCCUCCCAAGUAAGGGAAUAAGAUUCGAGAAAGGAGCGCCCCAGGCAACCGCGCAACCAAGUGUUGCAUAGUGAGGUAAG
rnacentral:lncRNA from 1 species